ensembl:snoRNA
UGGAUCAGUGAUGAGUACCCUGGGGUGUCUGAAUUAAAGGUUUUGAUGAAGCUCUGUAGCUCUGCGGUCAUU